CAACUUUCUAUUCUAAAUAAAGAAAAAUAUUAAAAUAAAGUGUUGGUACGCGCUUUUGCACAAGAAGGGGUGAAAGUGAAAGGCAAAAUAGGAAAUAGUAGGAAGUAUAUUUUGGAUAGCAAUGACCGAGUCUAAAACUCGUUAACAAGUGUCAGUGUUGAUAGUGAUGGGUACAUACAUCAUACAUGGCCGUCUCACUCUCUCAUAAUAAUUUCAUUUUUUUUUGAAUGGUUCUUUGAGACAGUUUGGUGAAUGGGGAGUGAACCUGACCUGGGCAGUGGGAACGUGUGUGUGUGUAUGUACACGCGUCACUGUCUUCCUCUUGACGCGUCCUUUGAAACUUGUAACGCAGUCACCUUUGUUUUCGGUGCUUCCCAGUCGCAUCCAAAAUCGCGUCCUGUCCCUCUCCUUCCCGUUAAAUAACCAAACACGCCGCGACUCACCUCACUCUCCACUUUUACCACGCGCCACGUGUCGCGUGCUUCUACCUGAUGUUUCAUCUCGCGUUUAUGACCGCACGAUUUGGGACGCGGAACGGAACGGACGCGCACGGCGCGUGAUGAGUUGCUGAAUCGAAAUCUUGCUAGAUUUAUUCGCAAAAGCCUUUAGCAAAGAAAAAAAGAGAGAGUAGAAAACCGCAAUUGAAAUUGUGAUUUUUUGGUAGUGUGUGUGGGUGGUGCUCCAAAAGGUAACAUGGAUUACGGGAAUGGGAUAAGAAAGAAACUUCUUUCCUUUGUUUUUAAAGACCGUCACUGGGUAGUUGAUAUUGGUUGGGCAUAUUUACA
rnacentral:lncRNA from 1 species